UGUUCUUUUCUCUCUCUCGAACCUUCCAGCCAUUUCAUUAGCUUCCAAUUCUACUUCACCUUUCAUCACACGUUUUCUUUGUUUUUCCAAUUCCAAUCAACAAAUUCUUUUAUUGAAUCAUGCAAGCAUGAGUAAAAUGGUACAACUUGGCAAACCAACCUCAUAAAAUGCUAUUGGGUAGUUUUUGAGAUAGGAUUUGUGUUUUAUGGAAGGAGAUGAGUACCCACCCAUUGGUAGUUGCUUAUUGAGAUUCUUAGAGAUAUGAUAUUGGACGCUUCACAUGCUUCUCUUGGAGUGGUUGGAGAUCAAACUUAGUUGAUUCGUCAUAACUAUUUUCAAGCAGCUACGUAGGAAGCUGCUAGUAGACUCAAAGUUCAGCCGUGUCACUCUUUUUGGUAGGCUUCUUUGAUGGAUGUCUCUUUUGUUUAUGUAUAUGUUGAAUCAGAGUAUCUGCAGCUAUUUGGAGUCUAGGAAUGUUUUAUUUGAGAUAUACAAAUAUGUAAAUAUUGUUUAAAUUCUGCCAAGUGUCGUCAAUAGGCUUGCCGGACUAGGAUGUUCUAGUUCGUGCGCCGGUUACGAUUGUGAA